rnacentral:rRNA from 1 species
UAGAGGCAGCAGUAGAGAAUCUUGUGCAAUAAACGAAAGUAUGACACAGAGAGGACACAUUUAAUUGAGCCCGUCAAAUUAAGUGCCAGCCGACGCGGUUAAACUUAAGGGCUGGUCUUUAUAAGUAAAAAGGCGUAAAGGAUGUGUAGGCCAAGAAACGACCCAAGUAGGUAAAUGGAAUUUUUCUGGAGCGGUAGAAUGUGAGGAUAGAAAAUAGAACCCCUAAGGUAAAAACUAUUUACCACAAGGUAGGCUGAAACAUGAGAGUGUGGGGAGCAAACAGGAUUAGAGACCCUGGUAGUCCACACUGUGAACUUUGAAGAUGAUGCUUAGCAGACCCGAAAGGUAAAUCUUCCGCCUGAGUAGAACGAUCGCAAGAUUAAAAUUCAAAAACUUUGGCUGUUCACUAUUUCGAUUAGAGGAGCGUGUAGUUUAAUUCGAUGGUCCGCGUGUUACCUUACCCCAACUUGAAUCUGUGACCGGUAUUGCAUGGCCGUCGUAAGUUCGUGUAUUAAGCUAGAAGGGACCCAACCCGGGCAUUUGCCCGGAGGAAGUCAGGUCUUAUGAUCCGAAUGUUGGGGGAUUUUAUGCGCUACAUUUUCUUAUAUAAUGGGAAACCUGGAAGGUGAGCCUCUAAAGUAAGAGUUCGGAAGGUCGCUGUAAGACGACUGGAAGUUGGAUUUAAUAGUAAUCGGAAAGUAGGGCGUUCCGGUGAAUUGGUACAAGUGUUAGCACAAAUUGCCCGUCACCUUUACCUAGAAUGGUUAUUCGGACGUCUUCGGUGAUUACGAAUGCCUACGAGGUAAAC